CUCUGUGACUCCUACGGGAGGCAGCAGUGGGGAAUAUUGCACAAUGGGCGCAAGCCUGAUGCAGCCAUGCCGCGUGUGUGAAGAAGGCCUUCGGGUUGUAAAGCACUUUCAGUUGUGAGGAAGGUGGUGUCGUUAAUAGCGGCAUCAUUUGACGUUAGCAACAGAAGAAGCACCGGCUAACUCCGUGCCAGCAGCCGCGGUAAUACGGAGGGUGCGAGCGUUAAUCGGAAUUACUGGGCGUAAAGCGCAUGCAGGUGGUUUGUUAAGUCAGAUGUGAAAGCCCGGGGCUCAACCUCGGAACUGCAUUUGAAACUGGCAGACUAGAGUACUGUAGAGGGGGUAGAAUUUCAGGUGUAGCGGUGAAAUGCGUAGAGAUCUGAAGGAAUACCGGUGGCGAAGGCGGCCCCCUGGACAGAUACUGACACUCAGUUGCGAAAGCGUGGGGAGCAAACAGGAUUAGAUACCCUGGUAG
rnacentral:rRNA from 1 species